rnacentral:rRNA from 1 species
UACAGAGGGUGCAAACGUUGCUCGGAAUUACUGGGCGUAAAGCGCGCGUAGGCGGACUGGUGUGUCGGAUGUGAAAUCCCUGGGCUCAACCCAGGAACUGCAUUCGAAACUGCCAGCCUUGAGUGGUGGAGAGGGAAGUGGAAUUCCUGGUGUAGAGGUGAAAUGCGUAGAUAUCAGGAGGAACACCAGUGGCGAAGGCGGCUUCCUGGACAACAACUGACGCUGAGACGCGAAAGCGUGGGGAGCAAACAGG